rnacentral:misc_RNA from 1 species
UGUAGGAGUGAGCCUGCUCGCGAUGACGGAGUCUCAGUCGACAUCAAUGUUGAAUGUCGGACCGCUAUCGCGAGCAGGCUCACUCCUACA